UGGGUAUUUGACAAAACAAGAAUACAGCAGUAUUGGGAUGCACAGAUCAUUCAGACCACACAUAUCAUUAGGAAUAUCUAUAACAUUCGACUAGAGGCAGAAAAGCGAUACCUUGCACAACAAUAUCAGAUUAAGCUGAACAGAUCGGAAACAGAGAUACUGAAAUUUAAGAAAAGUUAUAAAGCACAACUUUUACAACUACAAGAGAAGGUAGCCCAGUUUCAGACGUUAUGGGAAAAGAUGGAAUCCAAUUGCUCAUCUAGGCAUGAUCAACAUAGAUGCACCAGGUUAAGGGGAGAAUUUCGCAUCAUGGUUGACAUCAUUGUCUCAAAGUAAUUAAUUGAUUAUGAACCGAGCAUUGCAUAUGCAGAAAAAAGGGUCAUUUAUAAUGAAAAGGAGAUUCUGAAAACCCCGUCUCCUGACGACGAAUUUCUUGAGCAAAAUGAAGAACUAGAGGGUGCAGGAUCACUUGAUUAACCAAC